AUACGGAGGGGGUUAGCGUUGUUCGGAAUUACUGGGCGUAAAGCGCACGUAGGCGGACUGGAAAGUUGGGGGUGAAAUCCCGGGGCUCAACCCCGGAACUGCCUCCAAAACUUCCAAUCUAGAGAUCGAGAGAGGUGAGUGGAAUUCCAAGUGUAGAGGUGAAAUUCGUAGAUAUUUGGAGGGACACCAGUGGCGAAGGCGGCUCACUGGCUCGAUACUGACGCUGAGGUGCGAAAGCGUGGGGAGCAAACAGGAUUAGAAACCCUAGUAGUCC
rnacentral:rRNA from 1 species